GUCUUAAUAGUAUAAUUAUUACAAUGGUCUUGUAAACCAUAAAUGGGGUUAUACCCCUUAAGACU
rnacentral:tRNA from 1 species